rnacentral:rRNA from 1 species
UGGGGAAUUUUGGACAAUGGGGGAAACCCUGAUCCAGCCAUCCCGCGUGUGCGAUGAAGGCCUUCGGGUUGUAAAGCACUUUUGGCAGGAAAGAAACGUCGCGGGUUAAUACCCCGCGAAACUGACGGUACCUGCAGAAUAAGCACCGGCUAACUACGUGCCAGCAGCCGCGGUAAUACGUAGGGUGCAAGCGUUAAUCGGAAUUACUGGGCGUAAAGCGUGCGCAGGCGGUUCGGAAAGAAAGAUGUGAAAUCCCAGAGCUUAACUUUGGAACUGCAUUUUUAACUACCGGGCUAGAGUGUGUCAGAGGGAGGUGGAAUUCCGCGUGUAGCAGUGAAAUGCGUAGAUAUGCGGAGGAACACCGAUGGCGAAGGCAACCUCCUGGGAUAACACUGACGCUCAUGCACGAAAGCGUGGGGAGCAAACAGGAUUAGAUACCCUGGUAGUCCACGCCCUAAACGAUGUCAACUAGCUGUUGGGGCCUUCGGGCCUUGGUAGCGCAGCUAACGCGUGAAGUUGACCGCCUGGGGAGUACGGUCGCAAGAUUAAAACUCAAAUGAAUUGACGGGGUCGAUANCU